CGCGUUCCGCGUCAGUUUGACUGAACAAAUAAUGGCGUCAAUCGGAAGACUAAUUGAAAAACUGUCAGACAGGACAGGAAGUGCCGGAACUCCACUGGACUGGUCUGGGGAUGAAGUAGGAAGAACUUCUACAGACAAGGAAUGUCUGGAAUUUCUUUCUGUUCUCAACAUGACCUUUAGAGGUGCAAGGCAUCGUGUGUAGAACCCAUCGUCCUCCGUUAUAUCUGCACCAUCAUCCUCCGUCCCUCCAUCCCAUCAUCCAGCAGGAUGCAGUGUCUCUUUGAGGACGGAGAUUGAGUUUUUUUAUAUUCUGUCCUCUGUCCAAACUACAUUUCCCACGAUUCUCUUCUCACGAGCGGUCGCGGCGCUCAAAUGAGGCGGGUGGAGGCGCGCAGGGUGUUUUCAGAGUUGUAGUGCAUUGUGUUCUGCUUCUGCCGGUUGAUUCUGUUGGUCCGUGGGCACUUCCUGUGGAGGAAGCAAAAGGAUGUCAUUAUCGUACAUAUAAUUUGCUUCCACCAGGCAGCUCUAUGUUAUUUCUAAUCAGAACAAUGCCUGGAAGGAAAAAACAAAUUUUCCAAAGCUUUUGCUAUAAAAAUAUCUUGUAAUUGUAAAUAUAAAUUGUAAAUUUAUACGUUUAUAAAAGAAUGUUUCAUGCA